GAUGAAUAACGCAGCGAAAUGCGAUAAGUAAUGUGAAUUGCAGAAUUCAGUGAAUCAUCGAAUCUUUGAACGCACAUUGCGCCCGCCAGUAUUCUGGCGGGCAUGCCUGUUCGAGCGUCAUUACAACCCUCAGGCCCCCGGGCCUGGCGUUGGGGAUCGGCGGAAGCCCCCUGCGGGCACAACGCCGUCCCCCAAAUACAGUGGCGGUCCCGCCACAGCUUCCAUUGCGUAGUAGCUAACACCUCGCAACUGGAGAGCGGCGCGGCCACGCCGUAAAACACCCAACUUCUGAAUGUUGACCUCGAAUCAGGUAGGAAUACCCGCUGAACUUAAGCAUAUCAAUAAGCGGAGGA
rnacentral:misc_RNA from 1 species